GGUUGUGGCUCAGUGGUAGAACGCUCGCCUAGCAUGUUCGAGGCCCUCGGUUUGAUCCCCAGCACCA
rnacentral:tRNA from 1 species